UAGGGAAUCUUCGGCAAUGGGGGGAACCCUGACCGAGCAACGCCGCGUGAGUGAAGAAGGUUUUCGGAUCGUAAAGCUCUGUUGUUAAGGAAGAACGAGUGUGAGAAUGGAAAGUUCAUACUGUGACGGUACUUAACCAGAAAGGGACGGCUAACUACGUGCCAGCAGCCGCGGUAAUACGUAGGUCCCGAGCGUUGUCCGGAUUUAUUGGGCGUAAAGCGAGCGCAGGCGGUUAGAUAAGUCUGAAGUUAAAGGCAGUGGCUCAACCAUUGUAGGCUUUGGAAACUGUUUAACUUGAGUGCAGAAGGGGAGAGUGGAAUUCCAUGUGUAGCGGUGAAAUGCGUAGAUAUAUGGAGGAACACCGGUGGCGAAAGCGGCUCUCUGGUCUGUAACUGACGCUGAGGCUCGAAAGCGUGGGGAGCGAACAGGAUUAGAUACCUUGGUAGUCCACGCCGUAACGAUGAGUGCUAGGUGUUAGGUCCUUUCCGGGACUUAGUGCCGCAGCUAACGCAUUAAGCACUCCGCCUGGGGAGUACGACCGCAAGGUUG
rnacentral:rRNA from 1 species